rnacentral:rRNA from 1 species
UGCAGUCGAGGGGUAACAGAGGUAGCUUGCUACUUGCUGACGACCGGCGCACGGCUGCGUAACGCGUAUAGAACCUACCUUUUACAGGAGAAUAGCCCAGAGAAAUUUGGAUUAAUGCUCCAUAGUAUUAUUGAGUGGCAUCAUUUAAUAAUUAAACAUUUAUGGGUAAAAGAUGGCUAUGCGUUCUAUUAGCUAGAUGGUAAGGUAACGGCUUACCAUGGCAACGAUAGAUAGGGGUCCUGAGAGGGAGAUCCCCCACACUGGUACUGAGACACGGACCAGAUUUCUACGGGAGGCAGCAGUGAGGAAUAUUGGACAAUGGAGGCAACUCUGAUCCAGCCAUGCCGCGUGCAGGAAGACGGCCCUAUGGGUUGUAAACUGCUUUUAUACAGGAAGAAACCUACUUACGUGUAAGUAGCUGACGGUACUGUAAGAAUAAGCACCGGCUAACUCCGUGCCAGCAGCCGCGGUAAUACGGAGGGUGCAAGCGUUAUCCGGAAUCAUUGGGUUUAAAGGGUCCGUAGGCGGGCUAAUAAGUCAGGGGUGAAAUACCACAGCUCAACUGUGGAACUGCCUUUGAUACUGUUAGUCUUGAAUUAUAUGGAAGUAGAUAGAAUGUGUAGUGUAGCGGUG